GAUGAACGCUGGCGGCGUGCUUAACACAUGCAAGUCGAACGGUGAAAGAGAGCUUGCUCUCUGGAUCAGUGGCGAACGGGUGAGUAACACGUGAGCAAUCUGCCCCUGACUCUGGGAUAAGCGCUGGAAACGGCGUCUAUUACCGGAUACGAGCGGGGAAGGCAUCUUCAGCAGCUGGAAAGAACUUCGGUCAGGGAUGAGCUCGCGGCCUAUCAGCUAGUUGGUGAGGUAACGGCACACCAAGGCGUCGACGGGUAGCCGGCCUGAGAGGGUGACCGGCCACACUGGGACUGAGACACGGCCCAGACUCCUACGGGAGGCAGCAGUGGGGAAUAUUGCACAAUGGGCGAAAGCCUGAUGCAGCAACGCCGCGUGAGGGACGACGGCCUUCGGGUUGUAAACCUCUUUUAGCAGGGAAGAAGCGAAAGUGACGGUACCUGCAGAAAAAGCACCGGCUAACUACGUG
rnacentral:rRNA from 1 species